UAGUCGAGCGGCGAACGGGUGAGUAACGCGUGGAUAACCUGCCCUGAGGUGGGGGAUAACCAAGGGAAACUUUGGCUAAUACCGCAUGAUACCGAGAGGUCAAAGGGGGCUCGCAAGGGCUCUCGCCAUAGGAGGGGUCCGCGUACGAUUAGCUAGUUGGUAGGGUAAUGGCCUACCAAGGCGACGAUCGUUAGCCGGCCUGAGAGGGUGAUCGGCCACACUGGAACUGAGACACGGUCCAG
rnacentral:rRNA from 1 species